UGUUUUUUAGCUGUAGCCUACUUAGAUUGGACGUAUACGUUUACUUAACUUGCACUACAAUGAUGGUAAUAAUUCAAUGAAUAAGCUUCAAGUGGACAUGGGGGUGUGUUUGUAAGGAGUAUAGAGUUCUGACGUUAAAAUAAAUCCUGUUACAUUUUCAGAUUUGUAUUUUUUAUAAAUUAUUAUGUUCAAGGAGAAACCUGUACUUUCUGAAGUAUUUUUGCAAUGUGAAUUUGCCGUUCUGUUUUAAAAUAAAGGGUUGGAAAUUAAAGCUUUUUAAUGCUGUUUUUAUCAGAUUCAUCGAUUAUCCAAAUAAUCAUUAGUUGUAGCCCUAAUUCACACUUGUUGCAACUAUUGCACUUAUUACAACUGAAAUAUAUUUUGUGAUGGUCUUGUUAGCAACUGAACAUGUUCUAAAAAAAAAAAAAAUGAUAGUCAUGAUGAUAAUGUGCAUGUGUCUCAUUUUCUGGACAGUUAUUUUGCCAGUUGAAGAUUCUUUGCCAAAAAAACAAGCAUGUCAACAUGCUCUUCACUCAGCCUGGAACGCCUAGGACUGCAGAUAAUGCCUGAUAUGCUAAACACUUUUGCUGAUGCACAUCUUGUGGCAGGAAUGGACAAUUAAUGUCUGGCAAAAAAAGCAAGAUUUGUCAGAGUGGCUGAGUGGAUCUUCAGUGGCACUUAUUUCCUUCAUGUGCUUGUACUGCAAGAAUUCAGUUCUUAGUUAGUCAGCUGGUUGCACGGAGUCACAGUCACUAGCCUCUUCUGACUCCUUCUUUUCAAAUUUGAUGGUAGACAGCAGACUUUUUAGAUCAGUUUUCCUUUUUUUUUGUCCCUCCUGGAGCUUCCUCUUGCUGCUCUCCUGUUCGGACCUGCUCCACUGGCUGUACUGAGGCCUCAUGACGUUUUGGAAAAAGAUGUUCCUUCACUUCUUCCUCCAUUGCAACAAAAGUUUCUUUUGAACCUAUGAUCCAGAUAUGUUGCUGUAUGAAGGAUAAUGUUCAGCUGUGUGUCUUCAUAUCUGGAGGCAAAGUCCGAUUGUAUAUGGUCUUUCAUGGCACCUGCAAUGACGCAUUCUCCAGACAGGAAAAUAACUUAAAUUUCAGAGGCACCACAGAAGACAGUGUGGGUACCUUUUCUCCACUUAGUGCAUCCGUUGGGUCACUUAUCGGGUCAAGUAACUCUCGAACAGUCUCUUGCCACAUCCGAAUCUUUUGGCAUCCAAUGCCACUCCUUUCUGUUUUCUGCCAAAACAGCUUGUUGCUGUUGACAGAAUCGGCCCACCAUCUCAAAAGGUGGAAUUCCACCGGGUGGGCUCAUCAUGAAUGAGCUUUUCCACAGGAACAUUUAAGAGCAUCUGUUUGUCUUUCAGGCUCCUUUUGCAUCUUAUUUGACCUCGAAAACGCAGACAAGGUUGUCCGAAGCCUGGACAAGCAUGUUUUAAUGUCGUCCAGGGCUAAAUCCUGCCAGAUUGUGUCACAAACGGGGUAUCCAAGGGAAAUUUUUGUUGUUAGGGGUUAGGGUUAGAAGUCAUUGUCAGUGGUUAUACCAGCCAUAUUUGGCAUGUUCAUCCCUCCAGCGCUUGAUGGAUAGAAUCCGCCGUAUGGUCUGAGUACAAAGGAAUACAUCCUACACCAAGUCUGAAUUUCCCAGGUUGGUGUUAUGUACUGGAUUGUGAGUGCCAUGUAUGCAUCAACUGCCCUGCUUGUCCAGAGGUCAGUAGUGAGCGCAAAAGAAGCCUGGCAUUGAAGUCGUGCCUUAAUAACCUGAUUGGUCUCAUUGUAAAUCUGUGGAAUUUCAGUGUUCAUGAAAUAAUUUCUCCCUGGCAUGUCGUACUUUAUGUCCAACGCAUGCACAAGAUUCCUAAAUUCAGUUUUUUAGACUAUAUAUUGGCACCUGAUCAGUACAGAUGAACUCAGCCACUGCUCUGUUUAACUAUUUUGCAUCUUUUGAGCCUCUCUCAUAUUUCCUCUGGCUUUCAAACAAGGAUGGAAAGGGAACUCUGUCUCUGUGCAGCCUGAUCUCCAAAACCUGUUCAUAAAAAUGUAUACAAAAAUCUUGAACAUACAAAUUCAUAGUGAUACAUACUAAAUAAAUACGGACUGCAACUGAUGACGUCACCCUAUUCAAAGUGAAUGGGGACCUGCACCCCGUAAACACACUUCGUGAAGUCCAACGAUGUAAAAUAAACGUGUUAUGAUUGCAUUUUUAACGAGAAAUCAAUGUUAAACAGGUUUUGGAGAUCACGUUGCUCUGUGUUGUUGCUAUUCUGCUGGCAUCGGUUUGACUGUCUGUGGGAUAAACAAUGCGUCAUUUACUUGCAUAUAGAGUUUGAUAUUCUCACAUUCAUAUUUUAUCUUAAUUCAUGGAAUAAUUAUUUUUCCUUAACUUAAAAAUAAAAAGAAUUCGGCCAAGAUCCACCCUCAGGCUCCACCAGCAUGUAGCCUAUUGCAUCAAGCGUGUAUUAUUUGGUACAAUUUUUUGAGCAUUCUGACCUCAUGAUCAUAAAGGCCCACAUGUGUGAAAUUGUAGUUUAUUUUGCAUGUAUAUAUUUCUGCUGGACUAUUCAGUAACGUAUGUGCUGUCUUGCUUUGUCUUGUGUCUUUUACCCAGACACUUUUUCGACUUUUUCAGACCUCUUUUCGAGACCUAAAAAUGUGUCCAUGUAAAAGAGGACGUCUGGUCACCCUAGCUAAACUGGGAUAAGGCUAUUCGUGUUAGGCUGUAUAUGGAUGAGCUUGGGGGUGUUCAUGUGUAAGGAUUACAGGUACUAGAGCCCAAAAGCACAACUGAGAGAUGAUUUCUUGUUGAUCUGGAAUGACAGUAGAGUUAAUUGACAAGCAGGCAGGCAGGAGAAAAAAAUAAGAUGGAGAAUUUGUGACAUGCUUAUCACAUUUUCUAACCUUGUCGUUCUUUGAACUCUUUGAAAAGUUUGGGUCCGGUACUAAAAAUGUUCAAAACCGUAUCGUUUUCAACGUAAGGGUACCGCGGUACCUUUCUAUUACCGGUACACCCUGCAACAUUAGUCGAGCCGCUGCUCCUUUGCGUUGAAAGGAGCCAGUUGAGGUGGUUUGGGCAUCUGCUAAGGAUGGGUGACUAGGUAGAGAGUUUAUAUCUAUAAGCCUUGGGAUCCCCUAGUCAGAGCUGGUAUUCAUGCCCCAGUAAAGGGAAGUUUGGGGUUACGGAUGUUUUGUUAUAUUUUAAAUAUUUGUUUUGCCAGAGAUGAUCUUUUUCUUAUUAAAUGUACAUUUUCCCCUUUGGAUUACAAAAUCACACAAUUGCAAGAAUUAAGCGUAAAAUACAAUAACGUUAUGAUAUAACAGGAAAGAUCCACCAACCAUAACAUAUGGUUUGCUGUGAAAUACGUUAUUCACACCCAGUUUGGGCUACGGCUCAUGGGUCAUUGUUGAGGAACUGCUCGGCGUCGUAUAUAACCGAAACCAACCGAAAACACAUCCGACGAGGCUCUCUGUCUACACCACGUUAGCUUAACCUCUUGCUUACCUCUUACCUGCUUCAACCGGCAUUUCGGUGGGAUGCAUCCUUCAGUAGGGAGGCAUUAGGAGGUCCGGACAAAAAAGGAGAAUCUGAACACCAAAGACAGACGUCACUCUUAGUUCUUUUCACUUGGAACAAGUUCGGACUACAAAGCACACUGAUUGUCUUACUGCCCGACACAGAAGAGGUCGGGCAGUAAGACGGAUCGUCACAGAUGACGUGAGCUUUUGGAUCGCCCUCUCCCUUUCAGCCGAUCAAAUGCUAGCAUGCUAGAUGUAGUGUGAGGGUGGAUGCAUGCAGAUGACCCAAUAUGACCUUGCAUGUCCCUACUGUCCAAAUGUAAUCCUCGGCCCUCUGUUUCAAAAUUGUUGCUGCAAACCAUUUAAGACAUCUCAUAACAUAUUCUCUUAAAUAUUUUUUAAAUGGAUGAACAACAAUCGACCAAAGUGAGUGAGACAUGUGUGUCCGACCCAAUCCCGUGCCGCCUUGUUCAUCAGCUAAGGUAAAGACACCGGCCUUGUGUGAAGCAGCAUUGGGCUGUGUGCCUGCUUACAAAUUCCCCUGCUAUGCCUCUGCUUCCUCAUAAUUAUACAAGCCAACACACAGUCAGCAGAUAUAUUCCGGAAAAAAAUAAAGAUCAAUCUGUGCAUCUAAUCCGCCUUCAAACAAUGGCAUUAUAUCCAUAAUUAAAAAGAAGAUUAAUAGCAUCUUUCAAAUAUGACCUACAGUGGGAGUCGGUUUCCGUAAACACUGGGCAUCUCAAAGUUGCAAUCCACUUAGUGUGUAUUAAUGCACAGACCCUUGUAAUUAAUUGGAGGUGGGUUGCACUCGCAUGUGACCUUGCUGUGGAAUCAUGUUAAGUGGGGACAUGUCUCUCUGCGAGGGGUAAAAUACCGUGCUGACACUCGGAUAGAACCCCCCUCCCCCAUCGCCCACGGUAAUCACAUGCAUUUAUUUAAUCAUGAAUAUGCAUAAGGUGUGAAAUUUCAUAAGCAAUAGUCCAUGAACACAGUAGAGUCGGAGAGGUGUCUACAAACCUACAAACGCACAUGUGAAGACAGUGUCGUGUGGUAUGGUAUGUCAUGUAUUUGUUGAUAUUUUCUCUAUGAUGACAUGGGUUUGAGCGCAGGGACUUAGCAGCUUGACACUAAAUAUUGUUCUCAACAGAACAUCAACAGCAGCAGCAGUAGUUUGUUCAAACCCUCUGUAACCGUCCCCAUGGUUACUGUGCUUACAUGGAAGCAGAGACGAAGUAAUGAAACAUAUAUAAAUGAAGCGUAUAUAAUUCCAUAACAUGACAAGAACCCUUUGAAAAAUAUAUGAGAUGUAGGGAAGUUAUUGUGAAUGACCUUUAAGUCUCUUAAUUACUAGAAGGCAGCAAGAAAAUAGAGGUAUGACAGUUGUUGCAUAAACCUUGAUUGUUCUCUCUGAGACAUAAGCAGAUUCACACUUGAAACUGAAAUGCACAAUUCAAUGCGCAUCUUUCUUUUAAGCGUGUCCGGCUAUUAAUUGCAAGUUUGUUCUUCUUCUUAAGACUAAAUCUUAUAAAUUAACGAGUAAUCACUUUAGAAAGCAUGUAUUUUACACAAAACUACACACAUUUAGUCAUCUUGGAGGCAGAAUUCCACCUGGUGGGACAUGUUGAACUAGCAACUCUUUCUGCUGUCUUUGUGCAGUUUGCUGUGCUCUCAACUCUCCAUCAUUUGACAGCUUUGUUUGAAGUGCACAACAAUCACCCAACAUUUAGCCAGUACGUUUUCCAAACCACUGUCUUUAAGGGGUGGUCCUCUGCAGUCUGUGUGCUACGCAGUGUAGGUGUUGAGAUGCCCUAGCAGCUAACUAAUAACAUUCUUUUGGGUACUAUCAGUCCUAAAGUGGUCCGUUUGCCACUCACCCAACUUCUGUUUGACACAUGGAGGAAUUCCUCUGCACAGUUCUCUGCUGUAUCGCGCCUCUGUUUGUUUUACUUCUAAUGCAAAAAGCUCUCUAACUGACUGCAGGCAUGCAGCGGUUUCGUGUCUGGGGCAACGCAUUCUGGAGAUGCUGGAAGUGGCAGUUAGAAAGACCCAUCUCCAAGCUGGAAAAAGUAGUACUCACUGCAAAAUGAGUGGCCGACGGGAGUUAUUGUUGAAACCACCGGCAGAGUUUGGAAAGUAAGGAUCAUUAAAGAAGGCACCCUCACACCAAAAGCGAAGCAAAUCAUUCGCGCAAGUAGAUUCCAUGCAAAUGUACAGACGCGACUGGUUGUGGAGGAAGCAAAUUUUCAACGGGCGGCGAGGACCGAGCGAAAAAGCGAAAGGAGCAAAGCAAAUAAAUCGCUUUUUUGCCAAAGUUUAAAUAUUUCAAUAUGUCUUCACCGUCCUGCUGCCAAAGCGUGAAUACACUUUAUGAAACUGCCGCUCACCGGAGACACACACACAGAGUUGAGACCGAACGCCUAGACGCUGGCACCGAGCCGACACAACAGGUCAUCAAACUGGCUCCUGGGGGGCCUGAAGUAGCGCUGGAAGCGGCACUCAUCCAGAUGCACUUCCAUGGUGGAUAGCAGAAUUUAUUAUCGGUCUUUUGUAUCGGAGACAAGUAACAGAGAUAAGCCACAAAGAAAGCGGGACGCGAAUUAAGCAAAAAAGAACUACUCUGGCGCUUUUGGUGUAAAUGCAGCAUAAGGUUUAUUCAAGACCAAAAGUUCUCUGCUCCUCAAUGAGCAACAAAUACCAAGCGGGGAGUGUUCUGCCCCAUAUUUUCAUGUGUUGCAUUAGAAAUGCCAAGUGGUCUAGAAUCUAAUUGCGUUUUUGUUCUUGUAUUUAUCCCUCCUCCCUUACCGUAGAUAAUCCCUUUGUUACUGAUUCUACUGAAAGAACUAGCAGCAGCUACGUUUAACCUUUACUGUUUGGCAGUCUUUGAAGGCUUCGGUCUAAGUAUUUCUGUUUGUUAGCUAGGAUAGCAUUUCUGUCAUAGCAAUAAAUGCUAAUCCCGAUUGGCAUUUAACAUCAAUGUGAAAACAAGCUUAGAUGCUAACUAGUCAGACGAGACUGGAAGGCUACUAGUAAAUUCUGUCCGGAUGGCUUUAUGCAAAAUCAAAUUUCAAUCAUUAAUGUAUUUGUAUGUGGAUGGUUAAAAUAAAGAAUUCACUAAACACCCUACACUCUAUUUCAGAUUCCUGGGUCAUAAUUUCGUGGAUCCCCUGUUAUAUAUCUGAUAAGCUAACCUGUUGAAGCAAAAUCAGAAUAAUAUAUACAGGGCAUCAAACUGCCUUGAGUGGACAAACUGCUAUUACAGCGUAUGCUACAUAUUUUAGUUGUAUUUUAUUACAAGAAUCAUAUACCACCAACAUGUUGGGUUUGCUGUGAAAUAUGAUUGAGAAGUUAUUAUUUGGAUUACUCUGACGCCACACAGAUGCAGCACAAACGUCUUUUUAUCAGCAAUUGUUUAAUCAGCGAAUUGAAUGAGAAUGAAUGUUAUCUUUAGUAAACACACCAAUUCAUAAUCCUUGGCAAUGCAUUGAAGAAUUGUUUUGUGGGGCAUGCAGUACUAUAUCAGUACAGUACAUACAGUGCAUGCACCACAAAUGAAUAUACCAUAUUAACUAAAAGAUAGUCAAAUUAAAAAAGGUUCCAGAGGUUAAAAUACAGUCGGUGUGCACUUAGCUAACCCCAAAUACAAGCUACACAGCUUUAUGUAACACUAAUGACAACGCUGUUUUGCACAUUGGGAUAUUGGAUACAUAUUUACCGUGGAUGUGGUUAGUCUGCAUCCUCCUCUGCAGUGAUGAACUACAGAUCUCCCCCUCACACAAAGCCAACUU
ensembl:lncRNA